rnacentral:misc_RNA from 1 species
UGUACCAAUUUGCAUAUGAUGUGUAAUAUUUAAAGAGCACAUUAUGAACUUCUUUUCUGAGUCAACAACGCCAAUUUUUUCGCAAAGCUUAAACUACGGAAAUGCAAUUACUUCAAGCUUGAAAGUUGAAACAAUCAUUUACAUCAAUAAGAUAAGAUGACAAGCACAUUUAACUCACUGGCAAUCUAUUCAUUCCAUAUCAACCUGUGAUGCGAACCCAAAAACAGAGGAAACUCAGAACAUUAAUGUCAAAAAAACGCGUUAACCUAGCCAAAAUCAUUCUAGUCAUGUUCAUGGGUGAUUCAGAAAUUCAUACAGAUGUGCACAUUUAGUCACCCGACAACCUUGGUCAAAUAUAAACCUGACAUCUGAAAUCUGCUGUCCAGCUAUUAAUUUUUGUGAACAACUCAACCACCAAGAAGUUUCAAUAGUUAGCCAUAGUUCUUCUCAGUCAAAGACUUUAGUAUAUCUUUUCAAAAAUCACUCAACAUAAAAACUCAAACUUGUGGGUGAAUUCCAAGAAUAGUUUAAAUAUAUCUAACAUGCCCAAGGUUGUAAAGGGCGUGGACAAGCAUAUCCUGCAUCUUAACCUGUGCAGAAAUUUAAUUAUUAAGAGGGAGAUGGCCCAAGUUUGAAAUGUAGAUCUUUUGGAUGGAGAGGCUCCAAUACUAUGUCAAAGAACCAUAAAAACUAAAGACUCAAACUUGUAGGUAAGGGCCUAAGAAUAGUAUUUUUUUACGUCUAAUGGGCAAAUUUUGUGCAUGCUUAUUUAAGUUUUCACUAAACCUCAUCAUGCUAACCGAAAUGACAGAAAAUCACAAAUGGGCAAACCAUUAAGGGUAGCAACUGGUGUCCUGGUUGCUUGAGCUGAUGUGACAUUAAAAAAAUAAUUUUUAAAACGUAAAGCUGACAUUGGGUCCCACAACAUUCCCACAAACACAAAUCCAGGUCUUUAUCUUCCUCUCACCCCUUUAUGCAACGGCGCUUUCUUCAUAUCCAACUGCCUGUCUACUUCAUGAAAAGAUACUCCCUCCUUUAUCUUGUUGCAUCUCUCUCAAAUUCCUUGUUUGGUUUUGGUUAUGGAUUUUUCUUCUCAAAGAACUGUUAAGAAAUGGAUUGGCUUUUUGGCCUAUGGCAGCGUAUGUAGGUUUUGAGGGAAGAAACAAAAUAGGAAAUAGAAUUGGAUUGAAGAGAGAUGCAGGAAAUACAGCUUUGUGGAUAUUAUGAUGUGGGUCUCUCCAAUGCAGGGAAGAAGAUCCAUUACAAGUUUGUGAUCCCACCAAUCCUCUCUCCAAGUUAUCAAUCACCACCAAAAAUGGUAUGUUUCCCAUGAGCUCUUUGCAAACUCUACAAAUGGCUUCUCUUCUUGCUUCUCAAAGCCUUUUAUCCUGUCUUUCUCUGAGUAAUUCUCAACCCCUGUAUCAACUUCAGAUAAUUCUGCCUAAUAUAUUUGCUUUCUCCUCAAAUCCACAAAACCAUAUUGUACCUCUGGUGAUAUCUAUAAGCAAAUUCCAAAAGAAGCUCCAUCUUGCCAAUUUCAGGCUCCCUUGACACACAAGCAAUCCCUUUCCUGUACACAAUUUUUGUUGAUCUUUUUCUCUUGGCAUAACAUCCGGCACUUUUUGGCCUCACUUGG